rnacentral:rRNA from 1 species
UACGGAGGGAGCUAGCGUUGUUCGGAAUUACUGGGCGUAAAGCGCACGUAGGCGGCUUUGUAAGUUAGAGGUGAAAGCCUGAAGCUCAACUUCAGAAUUGCCUUUAAGACUGCAUCGCUUGAAUCCAGGAGAGGUGAGUGGAAUUCCGAGUGUAGAGGUGAAAUUCGUAGAUAUUACGGAAGAACACCAGUGGCGAAGGCGGCUCACUGGACUGGUAUUGACGCUGAGGCGCGAAAGCUAGGGGAGCAAACGGG